UACGUAGGGUGCAAGCGUUAAUCGGAAUUACUGGGCGUAAAGCGUGCGCAGGCGGUUAUAUAAGACAGAUGUGAAAUCCCCGGGCUCAACCUGGGACCUGCAUUUGUGACUGUAUAGCUAGAGUACGGUAGAGGGGGAUGGAAUUCCGCGUGUAGCAGUGAAAUGCGUAGAUAUGCGGAGGAACAUCGAUGGCGAAGGCAAUCCCCUGGACCUGUACUGACGCUCAUGCACGAAAGCGUGGGGAGCAAACAGG
rnacentral:rRNA from 1 species